GAAGCCGGAGUCGCAGCCCGUGAUGAAGACGUGUUUGUCCGGGAGGUUCCCGACCACCUGCCGCUCCCGGUACCAUAGGCACAGGAUGUAUAGCACCAGCAGGGCCGCCAGGCUUCUGGGUCGUGCAGCCCCUGGAAAGCAAUGACCCCCGCUCUGGGGUGAGUCACAGACGCCGGAGGAGAAGAACUGUUCGGAAGAACACCUGGUUCUGCCCAGAGUUGCCGCCUUGCCAGAUGUUGUUUCUUGAACAAGAGGCCUCUCCUUCUCCAAGACGUUCUGCGUGGACAGAGGAGCUGUUUCGGCAGGCUCUGAGGAGGGUCACCUGGGAGCAGGUCGCAAGGCGUCUACCACCGCUUACCGCCUUCUCCCGGCUGCGAUUCUAUGUCCAGGCAAACCCUGCUAGCACCCUCCCAGCAUGGAGAUGGGCACCCACGUGCACCCGUGGGCUCCUCAGGGCUUUGGCUGAGUGAAGCCGAGGGACAAGACCGGGUCCUGGUUCCUGGGAGGACCUGAAGGGACCCCGUGCUCGCGAGCAGACCAAAGCUUCCCACCUGCCCCCACCAAGCAAGGAGGAAAAGCCAGGAGAUGUCUAGACCUCUCACUCGUCCUCCUGACCCCAGCAGAUGGGAGAGACUUGCUUUGUGUGGCCUUUGCUGAACCAAGGAGCGGAGAGGGGCAAAGGCACCAGAACCAGCGCAGCCCGGCUCAUUCCCACCUGGUGGGAGCAGGAAACAGCGUCUGCCCCAUCCCUGCAUCAUGGAAGCGUCGCCCCAGCUUCUCUUGCCCUUCGCUGGAACACCAGUCACCAAGCAAGGCCACUGCGUGGAGCCAAGUCUGGGGGCAAGUGUCCAGCCCGCCUGGCUCUUCCAACACCCCCUUCUUCUGGCAAAGUGUCUGCCCCGUCCCCCGUGGUGGACGCAUCGCCCCAGCUUCUCUUGCGCUUCGUGGGAACGCCAGUCACUGAGCAAGGCUGCUCCGUGGAGCCAAGUCCGGGGGUGAGUGUCCAGCACGCCUGACUUCCAACACCCGCUUCUACUGUGAAAGGCAGUGGAGGCAUGGAUGCUGUCAGAUUUGGUCACAUCCAAGAUCACCGUCUUCAGCCUCCCCAACGUCACCUGCCACAGCCGCUCGGCCCCCUGCUCCGUCAGACACGCCGCCAGCACCCGCAGCCCCCGCCCG